CGCGGGGAUGGAGCAAGAGCGGCUCGACGGUCUCAUAAGCCGUACAUCGGUGAGUGCAACUCUCACCUCCGCGACCA
rnacentral:tRNA from 1 species